rnacentral:rRNA from 1 species
UACGGAGGGUGCGAGCGUUGUCCGGAAUCACUGGGCGUAAAGGGUGCGUAGGCGGGCCUUUAAGUCAGGGGUGAAAUCCUGGAGCUCAACUCCAGAACUGCCUUUGAUACUGAAGAUCUUGAGUUCGGGAGAGGUGAGUGGAACUGCGAGUGUAGAGGUGAAAUUCGUAGAUAUUCGCAAGAACACCAGUGGCGAAGGCGGCUCACUGGCCCGAUACUGACGCUGAGGCACGAAAGCGUGGGGAGCAAACAGG